rnacentral:tRNA from 1 species
CAGCGUUUAGCUUAAUGGUAAAGCACUCGACUGGAGUUUUGAGAAAGUGGGUUCAAGUCCCAUGGCUGU